AAGGAAUCAGAGCUCUUCUGUGAGUGUUGACGACACAAAGUCUUGCCAUGGCACCUGGCAACUUUUUUAUCUAUGUGGUCACUUUUUAGUGGAAAGGAUACCAAAACUGUUUUUGGAUAUUUACUUAUUCAUGAGAGACACACAGAGAGAGGCAGAGACACAGGCAGAGGGAGAAGCAGGCUCCAUGCAGGGAGCCCGACGCGGGACUUGAUCCCAGGACCCAGGGGUCAUGCCCUGAGUCCAAGGCAGAUGCUCAACUGCUGAGCCACCCAGGCCUCCCUGUUUUUGGAUUUUAUAUUAAUGGUGGACGACGCCAUCAUUUAAGACUAGAGGAAAAUUAGUGUGUGUGUGUCUCAUGUUAAAAAAUGUUCCUCAUGUAACUAAAACCUUAUUAGGAUCCAAUGGUAUUUAAAAUACUAUUUCCAUUGUUUGCUUAGUGUAAUUAAUGACAAGAACAUAUGUGAUUAGCCUCUGAGUUUUAGCAGUUGCUUUCCGUGAAGAGUUUGUGGUUCACCCUUUUUCACGGCGUGACUUUAAUAGUAUGACGCAUCUAGACAAGACUUUAAAGACUCAUGCAUCCGAUGAUUUAUUUGUUUGCAUUCUUAUUUCUACCCGUUCUUUCAAAUGGUUGAAAAAUCACUCAUGAGAAAGACGCGCCGACAGUGUAAAGGAGAUGUGAAGAGACCCAACAGAAUCACACAAUACGUCGCAUGAAAUAUUUAAAAAGUGAAAAGCACUGGAACUACAAGUAUGUUAAAAAUUGUGAAAACCUUUCCUUAAAUGAAAAAUAAUAAAACCAGCACCAUGGGCAGCACGACUGAAGAUUUCAUGGCACAGAGCCUGUUGGGGAAACUGAACCGGUGUUGGUGGUACGGCGUAGUGGGGACCUUGCUAGUGCCACAUAAGGAUGGAGACGGUCCCGCGGACACUGCUCAGAACGCAUUCGGGACGUAGUCACCCCAACCUCCAAACCACGGAGUCGCUUACAUGCAGGCACCUGUGAAGACACGGCCCCCGAGCCUACACACGGGAAUCUUUGGAAGUGAGCUGCAGAUGACAUGGCUUCAGCAGGGGACACACGUCACCAUCUGCUUUAAGUCACUGAGUCCUCAUAUUUAGGGUUUGCUGAAGCUCACUCACCUGUAAAAGUGGUCGAAGACUUCCCAGAUCCCGCCGCCUCCGCAUGCCUCUGGACGAGGAUAGAAACACGACAAGGCGGUUUUCCUUUCAAGAAACGGAAUCUUCUUUUCCUCUGAAAAUAAAAAUUAUGUGUGCUUGUUGUGUAAACUAUUUGCAAAAGCCUGCGGUUGAGAACAAAAGACAAUUUGCCACAUCUCGCCACCCAAGACAAUGGCUGGGACUGGGGACAGCAGGUGCAGGACUGAUGUGUAUACACAUACACACUGGAGAUCCCUAAAUGAUUUGGCAACGAUGAACAUUUAUUUGAAGUCUUCAGAGUUAACUCCUUUUGCAACUGCACACGAGCUCUACGAUCAAACUAGGCGGUGGUUUUUGGAAGAUGAUUCGUACCUUCGAGCAAUAUGUGUUUAGAUAAUUUUGCUGAGUGUAAGACUGUUGGACUCCACCUAUUGGAAGAUCAUGUUCUUCACCCACGUUCCUUACAUCUGGACUUGGAGACACAAAUACUUUUCCAAGUCCUUGUUUUGACUUUUCUUCUUGACUUUUCUCAUGAUAAUCAUCAAAGAAGGUGAAUCUUUGAGCUGGAAAACAGCAACCGUAGAUAUAGAAAGAAUCAUUACAGGUGAACGCAAACCCCAGACCACGGCAAUAACUCCCCUUGUUAUUUUUAGAGUGACCGUCGUCAGCACAUGGCGACUCCAAGUUCAUUUAGGGGCUGCCAGAAACUGUAGCCAGUGGUGUGGACCCCGACGUCAGGUCACAGGAAAAGGACCACGAGUCUGGACCAAUAGCCCACGGGCCAGCGCGAGAGGCGUCCGUCCUCACCACGCGGCUCCUGCCAUUGCCACCUAAUGAGACGCAAAUCGGGAAGCGUGACACGGAGCUUCUUGGAACUAAUGAGAUCCGGAAUGGAGCCACACAGGUCUCGCCUCAGCGUGAGAACAUGUGAGGUGACUUGUUUCUCAAUGAUUUGGGAUUAAUCGCAGACUUCUUACUGUUCACUGAAUAUGCUCUGUGUUCUCACAGUGUGCGGCUUCGCUCACCAGCUCCGUCCCCCCCGACCUUGGCUGGUCAAAACCCACGGUCCUCUUAAGGCCCACGGGGCUCACCUCCUCCGUGCGUGCAUGCGUUUCUGCAGAACGUUGUGUGCGCUUCAGUGGGGUUUUCACAGAGCCUGAUGACGCGUGUGUCUGCGUUGGCUCUGAGCCCUUUCUCUCUUUAGUCCAUCUUUCAAGGCUGUCUCGUUAGGGACAGGAUUAGGAGGGCACCAGGGUGCGAGCCCUUUGCGUCCAACACUUCUUCCUUCUCGAGUGACCCCACACGGUGCCCUGCACAAAGGAAGCACCUGUUCAGGUGUGUCCACUCCCAUGUACCCUUCCCCGUCCACCAUCCCUAUCAUCUGCCCAAGUCACAAGGGCGGGAGGGGCCAUCCAUCCAUGAAGACCCUGUGACCCCACCUUGGUAGCCGAUCUAUCUCUGGAAGCUCUUCGGAUUUUGUUUAUUUAUUUAUUUUUUAAAGAUUUUAUUUAUUCAUGAGAGACCCAGAGAGAUGCAGAGACAUAGGCAGAGGGAGAAGGAGGAUCCAUGCAGGGAGCCUGAUGUGGGACUUGAUUCC